CCUACGGGAGGCAGCAGUGAGGAAUAUUGGUCAAUGGGCGCGAGCCUGAACCAGCCAAGUAGCGUGAAGGAAGACUGCCCUACGAGUUGUAAACUUCUUUUAUACAGGAGUAAAGUUAGGCACGUGUGCCUUUUUGUAUGUACUGUAUGAAUAAGGAUCGGCUACCUCCGUGCCAGCAGCCGCGGUAAUACGGAGGAUCCGAGCGUUAUCCGGAUUUAUUGGGUUUAAAGGGAGCGUAGGCGGGUUGUUAAGUCAGUUGUGAAAGUUUGCGGCUCAACCGGACAAUUGCAAUUGAUACUGGCAGUCUUGAGUACAGAUGAGGUAGGCGGAAUUCGUGGUGUAGCGGUGAAAUGCUUAGAUAUCACGAAGAACACCGAUUGCGAAGGCAGCUUACUAAACUGCAACUGACAUUGAUGCUCGAAAGCGUGGGUAUCAAACAGGAUUAGAUACCCUUGUAGUC
rnacentral:rRNA from 1 species